GUCACAAGGCAUGAAAUUUCAUAUAAACAUGUUUGUAAAUCAGAAGCCCUGUCUCCUGCCUUGGACACAGCAAGAACAAGUUCUAUUUCAGCAAAAUGCAGUGAAUUUUGCUCCAAUAGGUACCUAUCCAAGGUUUGAUAAUUUUGUUUAUUGUCCCGUGUUGGCUGCAAUGGUCUACAAUAUCAUUAUCAAAAUCAUCACUCCGG
rnacentral:lncRNA from 1 species